rnacentral:rRNA from 1 species
UCAGAUUGCAGGCUGNAACCCGCCUGCAUGAAGUCGGAAUUGCUAGUAAUCGCGGAUCAGCAUGCCGCGGUGAAUACGUUCCCGGGCCUUGUACACACCGCCCGUCACACCAUGGGAGCCGGUAAUACCCGAAGUCAGUAGUCCAACCACGUGAGGACGCUGCCGAAGGUAGGAUUGGCGACUGGGGUGAAGUCGUAACAAGGUAGC